ensembl:snoRNA
AUUCCCUGUGUUGCGGUUGUGGCUGCCAUGUCUCACGUGCGUUGGUAGAUGGCAGAGAGGAGAGAGGCUAUGUCUGUGUGCCCAAUGUCCUGACCUAUGAACAUCUUAAUGAUUAGUAGCCUAACACU